UGAAUUUAUCUGAUUAUUUUUACGUACUUUACGUGAAGUAGUUCCGUAUGCGUGUGUAACCAAACUACCGGUUCGGUUUAAGCAGCCAGCUUUGGUGCUUUUACUCCUCUCGGGCUGUUUAAACCCACAUUCGGCAGACAAUAUGAGGUAAGAAUCAUGUAUGAGAUGCUGUUUGUCCUUAGUGUUCCUGCUGCUGAUUCAGAAAGGAGAUUAAAGCUGCCGUAGGAGACGCCGUCAUCUUACCAUGUUCAAACAGUGAUAAGGCACUGCUGGGCAAACUGACUGCAUUCUGGAGAUUCAGAGACAGCAGCACCGUGUACGACAUCAUUGAGAGCAGAGCGUUGUUGGAUGACCAGGACGCGUCGUUCAGAGGCCGAGUUGACAGCUUUCCAGACGAGUGGACUCGAGGAAACUUCUCCAUCAAACUCAGCAGUGUGAAGAAGACGGACGGAGGAACGUACAAGUGCUUCAUUCCUGCUAUCAACACUCAAACGACAGUAUAUCUGACUGUUACUGAGACACUGAGACCUCCUGAAGUUCCAUCUGAGACGAAGAGCAAGAAGGUUCAAAUGAGACCAGACAACCUUCUGCUUUUUUCUACACUUCUGUUGGCGUUUUUUUUCUGUAUGUCUCACCAGUGAGACUCCAACUGCAACUCCACACUAUUUACUUUUUUUCUUGAAUAUAACACUGACAAACAUCUAAAAAUGCAUUAAAAAAAAAUGAAACACUUGUAACCAUGCCCACAAAAGCUUUAAGAACUGUCCCUUCCGAAACACACAUUUUCUGUAAUUAAGUAAACUUUUUGUGUGUCAAUAAAAAACUGUUCAAAUCUGCGUCUGCUGGUCAUGCACUAGUUAGCGUAUUUGAGUUCCAUUCAAAAUGAGCUAAUAUUGUCUCUUCUGUAACAGUCAGUACUGAAACAUU